UACGAAGGGGGCUAGCGUUGUUCGGAGUUACUGGGCGUAAAGGGCGCGUAGGCGGCGCAUCAAGUCAGGCGUGAAAGCCCUGGGCUCAACCCGGGAAUUGCGCUUGAGACUGGUGUGCUCGAGUACGGGAGAGGAUAGUGGAAUUCCCAGUGUAGAGGUGAAAUUCGUAGAUAUUGGGAAGAACACCGGUGGCGAAGGCGGCUAUCUGGACCGUAACUGACGCUGAGGCGCGAAAGCGUGGGGAGCAAACAGG
rnacentral:rRNA from 1 species